rnacentral:lncRNA from 1 species
UCUCCUCACUGGAUUUUGCCACUUGGCACAAAUCCAAUGAUCUCCAUUUUCUAUAAAUAUGGACUCCUUUCUUCCAUUUCCUCAUCACUUCUAUUUCAUUCUUCAAUCUUUCAAGAGCUUAGAGAGAGGAGAAAAGAAAAAGAAGAAAGGUGUAGGAAAACUUCGAGGUUUCGAUAAAGAAUUUAAUAUUUCCUUAAACAUCUUAAGGAACAU